GCCCAAUCCCUCCCCCACUAAAAUACAGUUUACUUAAUAAAUAAAACAUUUACCUAAAAUAAAGUACAGGAGAUAGAAAUUUAUAUUAGGAGCUUUAGAGACAGUACUUUAAGGGAAAGAUGAAAGAACAAAUUUAUAGUAUCAAAAAGCAAAGAUUAACUCUUUUACGUUUUGCAUAAUGAUUUAACCAGAAAAUGCUUGACAAAAAGAAUUUAAGCCAAACACCCCGAAACCAGAUGAGCUACUUAUGAGCAGCCAAUAAGAGCCCAUCCAUCUAUGUUGCAAAAUAGUGGAACGACUUAUAAGUAGAGGUGAAAAGCCUACCGAGCCUGGUAAUAGCUGGUUGUCCAGAUUAGAAUUUUAGUUCUACUUUAAAUUUACCUAAAGCACAAGCAAGCCAAAUGUAAAUUUAAAUGUUAAUCUAAAGAGGGAUAGCUCUUUCAAGUUAAGGAAUAAACCUUAAUUAGAGAGUAAACCUAUUAACCUCCAUAGUUGGCCUAAAAGCAGCCAUCAAUUAAAAAAGCAUCAAAGCUUAACCUAAUUAUCAAAACUUAAUACCUAACUUUCAAUAAUCUCCUAAGCCAACACUGGACUAAUCUAUUUUCCUAAUAGAAGAAAUUAUGUUAAAAUGAGUAACAAGAAAACAUUCUCCCUGCAUAAACUUAUGUCAGAUCGAAUAAUUCACUGAUAGUUAACAACAUCAUAAUAUUAAAUAAAUCAUAAAACCAUUAUUAACAACACUGCUAACCCAACACUGGUAUGCACUAAGGGAAAGAUUAAAAAAAGUAAAAGGAACUCCGCAAACGCUAACCCCGCCUGUUUACCAAAAACAUCACCCUUCCCGUGAAGAGGCGGGAAUUUCCUAAUAAGACGAGAAGACCCUAUGGAGCUUAUAUUUAAUAGUCUCACAGCCUUGACAUUAUCUAAGGAAUCAAAACUAUUGUUCAUAGACUAGAAAUUUUGGUUGUGGUGACCUUGGAGUACAAAUAAACCUCUGAAUGAUAAUAAUCUAAACACAACACCUCCAAAUUAUAACUCAUUAAUUGACCCAAAUUAUUGAUCAAUGGAACAAGUUACCCUAGGGAUAACAGCGCAAUCCUACUCUAGAGUCCAUAUGGACAGUUAGGGUUUACGACCUGGAUGUUGGAUCAGGACAUCCAAAUGGUGUAACCGCUAUUAAUUGUUUGUUUGUUCAACGAUUAAAGUCCUACGUGAUCUGAGUUCAGACAGAGAAAUCCAGGUCGGUUUCUAUCUAUUACUAUAUUUCUCCCAGUACAAAAGGACAAGAGAAAUAAGGCCAAUUAAACAUUAACGCUAAAUAAAUAGAUGAAAUAAUCUAAAUCUGGUAAACUAUUCUAAACAACCCGCUCUAGAACAGGGCUUGUUAAGAUGGCAGAGCCUGGUAAUUGCAUAAGACUUAAAACUUUAUUUCAGAGGUUCAACUCCUCUUCUUAACAUUAAUGUUUAUAAUUAAUCUCCUCCUUCUAAUUGCUCCAAUCCUAGUAGCUAUAGCUUUUCUAACCCUCAUCGAAAGAAAAAUACUAGGAUAUAUACAACUCCGUAAAGGCCCUAAUGUCGUUGGACCUUACGGCUUACUUCAACCAUUCGAUGAUGCAAUAAAACUAUUUAUUAAAGAACCCAUAAAACCCUUAACGUCAUCAAUUAUAUUAUUUUUUAUUGCCCCUACUCUUGCCCUAACACUAGCAUUUUCCAUGUGAAUCCCCUACCCAUACCCCAAACUCUCAUUAAUAUAAACAUAGGAGUCCUAUUUAUCCUCGCCACCUCAAGCUUAGCUGUAUAUGCAAUUCUAUGAUGAGGCUGAGCCUCCAACUCUAAAUAUGCUUUAAUUGGAGCAUUACAAGCCGUAGCACAAACUAUUUCAUAUGAAGUAACGCUAGCAAUUAUUCUUCUCUCAGUACUUCUAAUAAAUGGGUCCUUUACUCUAUAUACCCUUAUUACCACCCAACAAUUUACAUGACUUCUACUUCCAACAUGACCUCUAGCAAUAAUAUAGUUUAUUUCAACAUUAGCAGCAACUAAUCGAGCUCCAUUUGACCUAACAGAAGGAGAGUCAGAACUUGUAUCAGGAUUUAAUGUUGAAUAUGCAGCCGGUCCCUUCGCCUUAUUUUUUAUAGCUGAAUACACUAACAUCAUUAUAAUAAACGCAUUAACAGUAACCCUUUUCAUGGGAGCCCUACUCAACCUCGCUUUCCCUGAAACUUUUACACUCAACUUUACCCUAAAAACACUCAUUUUAACUUCCGCUUUUUUAUGAAUCUGAGGAUCCUACCCUCGAUUCCAUUAUGACCAACUUAUACACCUUUUAUUAUUAAGUAUAUUCCUCCUCUAAACUUG
rnacentral:lncRNA from 1 species